UACGGAAGGCAGCAGUGGGGAAUAUUGCACAAUGGGCGCAAGCCUGAUGCAGCCAUGCCGCGUGUAUGAAGAAGGCCUUCGGGUUGUAAAGUACUUUCAGUCGUGAGGAAGGUGUUAAGGUUAAUAACCUUAGCAAUUGACGUUAGCGACAGAAGAAGCACCGGCUAACUCCGUGCCAGCAGCCGCGGUAAUACGGAGGGUGCGAGCGUUAAUCGGAAUUACUGGGCGUAAAGGGCACGCAGGCGGUUAAUUAAGUUGGAUGUGAAAUCCCCGGGCUUAACCUGGGAAUGGCAUUCAAGACUGGUUGGCUAGAGUCUUGUAGAGGGGGUAGAAUUCCAUGUGUAGCGGUGAAAUGCGUAGAGAUGUGGAGGAAUACCGGUGGCGAAGGCGGCCCCUGGACAAAGACUGACGCUCAUGUGCGAAAGCGUGGGGAGCAAACAGGAUUAGAUACC
rnacentral:rRNA from 1 species